UGGGGAAUAUUGGACAAUGGGCGCAAGCCUGAUCCAGCCAUGCCGCGUGUGUGAAGAAGGCCUUCGGGUUGUAAAGCACUUUUGUACGGGAAGAAAAGCCAUUGGUUAAUACCCGGUGGUCCUGACGGUACCGUAAGAAUAAGCACCGGCUAACUUCGUGCCAGCAGCCGCGGUAAUACGAAGGGUGCAAGCGUUACUCGGAAUUACUGGGCGUAAAGCGUGCGUAGGUGGUUUGUUAAGUCUGAUGUGAAAGCCCUGGGCUCAACCUGGGAAUGGCAUUGGAUACUGGCAGUCUAGAGUGCGGUAGAGGGUAGCGGAAUUCCCGGUGUAGCAGUGAAAUGCGUAGAUAUCGGGAGGAACAUCCGUGGCGAAGGCGGCUACCUGGGCCAGCACUGACACUGAGGCACGAAAGCGUGGGGAGCAAACAGGAUUAGAUACCCUGGUAGUCCACGCCCUAAACGAUGCGAACUGGAUGUUGGGGACACUUAGGUCUUCAGUAUACG
rnacentral:rRNA from 1 species